rnacentral:rRNA from 1 species
CAGCAGCCGCCGCGGUAAAACGAAGGGGGCUAGCGUUGUUCGGAUUUACUGGGCGUAAAGGGCGCGUAGGCGGGCGAAUAAGUCAGGGGUGAAAUCCCAAGGCUCAACCUUGGAACUGCCUUUGAUACUGUUUGUCUUGAGUUCGAGAGAGGUAAGUGGAACUGCGAGUGUAGAGGUGAAAUUCGUAGAUAUUCGCAAGAACACCAGUGGCGAAGGCGGCUUACUGGCUCGAAACUGACGCUGAGGCGCGAAAGCGUGGGGAGCAAACAGGAUUAGAUACCCGAGUAGUCCCUGUCUCUUAUAA